rfam:Pseudomonas putida KT2440 complete genome.
GGGGCCGAUUAGGAUUCGACGCCGGUAGCGAAACUCUAGGUGCAUGCCGAGUUGGUAACAGAACUCGUAAAUCCACUGUUGCAACUUUUAUAGUUGCCAAUGACGAAAACUACGGCGCGGAGUACAAGCUGGCUGCGUAAGCAGUCCUCUUGACCCGUUGCUUCUGGUAGCUUCGGCUCCAGCAAUCACUAGGGGAUGCCUGUAAACCCGAACUGAUUGUCAUACAGAACAGGAUCGUCGCGUAGCACGUUGUGGGCGAAGUGACUAAAACUUACACAACUCAUCCAAAGCACCCUGCCCGUCGGGCGGCUGCGGAUUAAAUCAGUAGACACGGCUAAGCAUGUAGUACCGACAGCGGAGUACUGGCGGACGGGGGUUCAAAUCCCCCCGGCUCCACCA